GAUGGACUUCAACAGCACAUACUGAAAUUGGAAUGAUACAGAGAAGAUUAGCAUGGCCCCUGCGCAAGGAUGACGUGAAUUUGUGAAGUGUCCCUUUUUUUC